ensembl:snRNA U2 U2 spliceosomal RNA
AUCGCUUCUCGGCCUUUUGGCUAAGAUCAAGUGUAGUACUGUAUAGCAAUGGCUUUAUUUGUUUUUGUAUUCACAUUGAUGCAUUGAACUAAAUAUAUGUUUCAUGACAUUCAAAAAAAAGUUAUUUAUUACUG